rnacentral:rRNA from 1 species
AUGAGCUCUAUAGAUGCUAAAAUAUGGAGCCACAGUGAUGAUGGUGAAGCCCCAUUGAUGAAGUGUUGCGGAGGCGUAUUCCUUGGAUCGAUUCCCCCUCUAGAUGCCUUGGGGAGGCUAGGGUUCUGUAGAUGUGUUUCUGGAGACUAUGGGCGUCUGAUCCCUGAUCUGACUCUACAAAGGGUGAAGAGCGCAGCACAUAAGAUCCAAAAGAGAGGGGCGGGUGUUUGCUUGAGGUGUGAGAAAGGAUUUGAAGAGGUAGGGGCAGUGAUAGGAAUGAGGACUGAUAAGGGUGGAACCACGGUUGGCGGCGGUGGAGGCCGAUUGUUUCACAUGUUCAACUGCAGGGGAAAGUCCCUCAAGAUGUUAUUCUCUAGAUCUCUGGAUGAUGUUAUGCUUCUCAAGAGAAGCAACAAAACCAUACAAUCUAGCCGCCUCCAUUUGAACGACAAAGUUGAGGAGGCUGGUGUGUCAAGCAUACAAGAGAGAAACACUUAUAUUUGUGCAUCCUCGACCAAUGAGGAUGGGCGUGUGAUGACGACACCAGGAGUAGUGGCUAAGCUUAUGGGUUUGGAUGCCAUCCCAGGUCCAGGUGUCACAAAAUCUAUUUACACCCUAUCCCAUGAUAGCUACAACAUCAAUAGGAUCCCAGAGUACUCUAACGACAACAUGCUCAAGCCAUUGGAUUCAAGAGCUAAAAGCACGCCAAGAAGUCCUAUUGAAAGAUUGCAGAUUUUAAUGGGAAACAUAACUCAAAUCAUGGAGGUGGCUCCCAAGAUUCUAGAUCCCAAGCCACAAGUGAAUCCUAUGGAGAAAACCAUUUCUUCAGGGAACCCUUUCAAGGCUUCUAAGUCAAGGAGGAGUGUUGCAACUUCUCAAAGGAUGCUACCUCAACAACCACAAUCAUCCAUGAUCAAGGUCAAGCUAACAGAAGGGAGACUAUUUAGAGAGCAACACAUGAACCGGCAUUUGAACUACAACGAGGACAUUGCGACACCUUCAAUUGAUUCUUGUGAUAUUAAGAAGCCAAGUUGUUCCAGGAGCAAUAAAAGGAAGUCUGCUUAUGUGGUGCCCCAUGCAGAGUUCAGCAUGCAGAAGAGGGAAGAAGAACAACCAGAAACAAAAUUCUUUGGUGGGCAAGGGAAAGUUUGUACCAAACAAAACAAUCUCAACCAAACAAGCUACAAAGACACUGUAGAUGUUGUGUCGUGCACCAACACCUCAUCCUUGGUUAAACCAUUAGCGAAUAAUUCAGAUACAAGAACCGAUUUUUCUUUCAAUGACAUAACAGAGAAGCAUUAUUGGGAUAAAAAUGUUGAAGGGUCAUCAGUAGGGCUAAACUAUGUCAGUGGUGAUUCAUUAGGCAUUUUUCGGCCCAAUCUUCAACCAAAGGAUAACUUCUCCAAUGGAGUAAACCACAGGUGCAGGAACCAGAAAACUGCAUCAGUCCAAACAAUGGAAGGAAAGAUGGGGAUGGUGAAGAUCUAA